CCUACGGGAGGCAGCAGUGGGGAAUAUUGGACAAUGGGGGGAACCCUGAUCCAGCGACGCCGCGUGAGUGAAGAAGUAUUUCGGUAUGUAAAGCUCUAUCAGCAGGGAAGAAAAUGACGGUACCUGACUAAGAAGCCCCGGCUAACUACGUGCCAGCAGCCGCGGUAAUACGUAGGGGGCAAGCGUUAUCCGGAUUUACUGGGUGUAAAGGGAGCGUAGACGGUGCAGCAAGUCUGAUGUGAAAGGUCGGGGCCCAACCCCGGGACUGCAUUGGAAACUGUUGAACUGGAGUGCAGGAGAGGUAAGUGGAAUUCCUAGUGUAGCGGUGAAAUGCGUAGAUAUUAGGAGGAACACCAGUGGCGAAGGCGGCUUACUGGACUGUAACUGACGUUGAGGCUCGAAAGCGUGGGGAGCAAACAGGAUUAGAUACCCCAGUAGUC
rnacentral:rRNA from 1 species